rnacentral:rRNA from 1 species
AACGUAGGAGACAAACGUUAUCCGGAGUUACUGGGCGUAAAGGGCGUGUAGGUGGUUGCGUAAGUCUGGCGUGAAAUAUCUCGGCUUAACCGAGGCAGGUCGUCGGAUACUGCGUAACUGGAGGACGGUAGAGGCGUGUGGAAUUCCGGGUGUAGUGGUGAAAUGCGUAGAUAUUCGGAGGAACACCAGUGGCGAAGGCGGCUCACUGGUCCGGUACUGACGCUGAGGUGCGAAAGCGUGGGGAGCGAACAGG